rnacentral:rRNA from 1 species
GACAGAGGGGGCAAGCGUUGCUCGGAAUUACUGGGCGUAAAGGGCGCGUAGGCGGGAUGGCAAGUCGGUCGUGAAAUCCCUCGGCUCAACUGAGGAUCGUCGAUCGAUACUGCCGUUCUUGAGGAUUGCAGAGGAGACUGGAAUUCCCGGUGUAGCGGUGAAAUGUGUAGAGAUCGGGAGGAACACCGGUGGCGAAGGCAGCUCGCUGGGACGGUACUGACGCUGAGGCGCGAAAGCGGUGGGGAGCAAACAGG